rnacentral:pre_miRNA from 1 species
GUGGCAGCUUGGUUGUCAUAUGUGUGAUGUCACUUUCUAUAAUCUCCCAGAAUGACAUGACAUGUAUGGCUACUAAACUGCUAC